UAAAGAACUUUAACUGAUGUGAUGUCAU
rnacentral:sRNA from 1 species